rnacentral:piRNA from 1 species
ACCAGAAUACUGCUAUUCCUGGGUAAC